CUGAAACUCCUGGAAUUCCAGAGCCGUGACAUUCCCAGAUUUCCUUUUCUGGGUGGGAGUUUUCCUCUUUUAGCUCAACUUUUCCCUCCUUUUUGGGCUGGAAUUCCCAAGUUUAUUUUGGAUUUUCCCUCAUUUUAACUUGGAUUUCCCCAAGGUUUUUCCUGGAUUUUUCCCUCUUUUUUUGGAGUCAGAUUUUCCCUCUUUUCUCAUUUGGAUUUUCCCUCUUUUUGUGGGCGGGAAUUGCCCAAGUUUUCCCACUGGAUUUUCCCUCUGUUUUAAUUGGAUUUUCCCAUUUUUUUGGGUUGGAUUUCCCUCAUUUUCCCACUUUUUGGGGUUGGAUUUUCCCUCUUUUUUAGGCUGGAAUUUCCCAAGUUUUCCCCCUGGAUUUUUCCCUCAUUUUGAGUUGGAUUUUCCCCAGUUUUCCUUCGGGAAUGUUUCAAAUAAAUAAAUUUGUUCCUCUCUCUGGAAUUGCUGGAUUUUUCCUUG
rnacentral:lncRNA from 1 species